CUGGCUUCCCAGCGAAGCAGGAUGAGGGAUGGAAAGGAGCCAUUAUGGAGCCCCUUCCAUUCCUCCUCCCGCUUCACUGGGAAGCCAG